UCUCUGUUCGUAUAUCGGUUAGUACACGCGCCUGUCAUGUGGUUGUACUUACAAGUACGCGCGAAAGCUGGGUUCGAUUCCCAGACAGAGAG